UACGUAGGGUGCGAGCGUUAAUCGGAAUUACUGGGCGUAAAGCGUGCGCAGGCGGCUUUGCAAGACAGAUGUGAAAUCCCCGGGCUCAACCUGGGAACUGCAUUUGUGACUGCAAGGCUAGAGUACGGCAGAGGGGGAUGGAAUUCCGCGUGUAGCAGUGAAAUGCGUAGAUAUGCGGAGGAACACCAAUGGCGAAGGCAAUCCCCUGGGCCUGUACUGACGCUCAUGCACGAAAGCGUAGGUAGCAAACAGG
rnacentral:rRNA from 1 species